ACGCGGUGGAGCAUGUGGUUUAAUUCGAUGCAACGCGAAGAACCUUACCUACUCUUGACAUCCAGAGAACUUUCCAGAGAUGGAUUGGUGCCCUCGGGAACUCUGAGACAGGUGCUGCAUGGCUGUCGUCAGCUCGUGUUGUGAAAUGUUGGGUUAAGUCCCGCAACGAGCGCAACCCUUAUCCUUUGUUGCCAGCGGUUAGGCCGGGAACUCAAAGGAGACUGCCAGUGAUAAACUGGAGGAAGGUGGGGAUGACGUCAAGUCAUCAUGGCCCUUACGAGUAGGGCUACACACGUGCUACAAUGGCGCAUACAAAGAGAAGCGACCUCGCGAGAGCAAGCGGACCUCAUAAAGUGCGUCGUAGUCCGGAUUGGAGUCUGCAACUCGACUCCAUGAAGUCGGAAUCGCUAGUAAUCGUAGAUCAGAAUGCUACGGUGAAUACGUUCCCGGGCCUUGUACACACCGCCCGUCACACCAUGGGAGUGGGUUGCAAAAGAAGUAGGUAGCUUAACCUUCGGGAGGGCGCUUACCACUUUGUGAUUCAUGACUGGGGUGAAGUCGUAACAAGGUAACCAAGGGCGAAUUCUG
rnacentral:rRNA from 1 species